AUGCAGUCGAGCGGUAGCACAGAGAGCUUGCUCUCGGGUGACGAGCGGCGGACGGGUGAGUAAUGUCUGGGAAACUGCCUGAUGGAGGGGGAUAACUACUGGAAACGGUAGCUAAUACCGCAUAACGUCGCAAGACCAAAGUGGGGGACCUUCGGGCCUCAUGCCAUCAGAUGUGCCCAGAUGGGAUUAGCUAGUAGGUGGGGUAAUGGCUCACCUAGGCGACGAUCCCUAGCUGGUCUGAGAGGAUGACCAGCCACACUGGAACUGAGACACGGUCCAGACUCCUACGGGAGGCAGCAGUGGGGAAUAUUGCACAAUGGGCGCAAGCCUGAUGCAGCCAUGCCGCGUGUAUGAAGAAGGCCUUCGGGUUGUAAAGUACUUUCAGCGAGGAGGAAGGCGUUAAGGUUAAUAACCUUAGCGAUUGACGUUACUCGCAGAAGAAGCACCGGCUAACUCCGUGCCAGCAGCCGCGGUAAUACGGAGGGUGCAAGCGUUAAUCGGAAUUACUGGGCGUAAAGCGCACGCAGGCGGUUUGUUAAGUCAGAUGUGAAAUCCCCGGGCUCAACCUGGGAACUGCAUUUGAAACUGGCAAGCUUGAGUCUUUGUAGAGGGGGGUAGAAUUCCAGGUGUAGCGGUGAAAUGCGUAGAGAUCUGGAGGAAUACCGGGUGGCGAAGGCGGCCCCCUGGACAAAGACUGACGCUCAGGUGCGAAAGCGUGGGGGAGCCAAACAGGAUUAGAUACCCCUGGUAGUCCACGCUGUUAAACGAUGUCGACUUGGAGGUUGUUCCCCUUGAGGAGUGGCCUCCCGGAGCUAACGCGGUAAGUCGACCGCCCUGGUGGAGUACGGCCGCAAGGUUAAAACUUAAUAUGAAUUUGACGGGUGCCCCGCCACCAAGCGGGUGGGAUUAUGUGUGCUUUAAUUUCGUAUGCAUACGCGAAGUACCUU
rnacentral:rRNA from 1 species